rnacentral:rRNA from 1 species
UACGUAGGGGGCGAGCGUUGUCCGGAGUUACGGGGCGUAAAGGGCAUGCAGGCGGUCAGGCGCGUUUUUGUGUGACAGCGGGUGGCUUAACUACCCGAGGAUACGAAAGACGGUUGGACUUGAGGACUCGAGAGGGACACGGAAUUCCGGGUGGAGUGGUGAAAUGCGUAGAGAUCCGGAGGAACACCGAAGGCGAAGGCAGUGUCCUGGCGAGUGACUGACGCUGAGGUGCGAAAGCCAGGGGAGCGAACGGG